UCCGAAUUGUAGUUUAUAGAAGCGUUUUCGGUGGCAGCCUGGGUAUAAAUCCUUUGGAAUAGGGUAUCAUAGAGGGUGAGAAUCCCGUCUUUGACUCAGUGCAUGCUACUAUGUGAUACGUUUUCAAAGAGUCGAGUUGUUUGGGAAUGCAGCUCAAAAUGGGUGGUAAAUUUCAUCUAAGGCUAAAUAUUGGCGAGAGACCGAUAGCGAACAAGUACCGUGAGGGAAAGAUGAAAAGAACUUUGAAAAGAGAGUUAAACAGUGCGUGAAAUUGUUGAAAGGGAAACGUUUGACACCAGUUAUGCGGGUGGAAAAUCAGUCUUUUGCAAUGGGGAGUUGUGGGCGUUCANACCGCAAGGCUGGCGUUUGCUUCAUCUCUGUUGUAAGUGAUGCACUUUUUCAUUUGCAGGUCAACAUCAGUUUGCUUUGCUGGACAAAACCCCAAGGGAAGGUGGCAGCUUAGGCUGUGUUAUAGCCCUGGGGCGAUACAGUGGA
rnacentral:rRNA from 1 species